AAAUUGUCUGCACUGACCAAGCAUGUUUCACCUAACGCUUGAUCCCACUUCAAAAACACCUUUCAUUAAAGGAUUGGAGGAAGACAAUCAUAUCGUUCUUCAAUGUUUAAAAAUGUGGAAAGCGAAGUUACAAUGCAUUGUUGCGCCAACAUGGAUGGCACCAAGAAGCUGCCGCUGCUUGUGAGGGGUAUGGUUCGCCCACUCUCAGUGAAAAGUGAAAAACUUACUAUCAAGUUAAGAACAUGAAAGUUCCAUGGCCUGUUGGAGUCUCAGGAGAAAACUACAGAUCUGAUUAUAUGAUUGCUAACCUGGCAACAAGAGGCUGUGUACAUAGAACAUAGAACAAAGAACAAUGCAGCACAGGAACAGGCCCUUCCGCCCUCCAAGCCUGCGCCAACACACUUUGACCUUCUACAUUAAAAUUGUCUUCAUUUACAGGAUGUGUAUUCUUCUAUUCCUUUCCUAUUCAAGUCUUCAUCUAGAUGUUUCUUGAUUACAUGGAUACUGUCCAAAUAUAAUUGCAGUCCCCACAUUCUGGCAGCGAGUCUCAGCAUCUUACCCAGGUGCUGCUAACUUGUUUUAUAGUCAACAUUACAAACAAUAUCCUUCCUGAAGCCUUUCUGCUUCUAUUACAUUGUCACAGGUGUUUCUUCUGCAGGCUUACUGCUGAACUUGGAAUUCUCACCUCAUAGUUUAAUCAGUUCAGCAAGAUCUUUAUUGUGAAUCCCUUUCUCCCAAGGAUACCUUCUUCAGCUGGUGAUAUUAAGUAUUGAGAUAAGACUUUCAGUGCACUUACUACAGUUUCUCAAUUUGUUCUAUAAUCUGAUGGUAUGGUUGUGAAUUGUGGAGGUUUAUCAAUCCUUUCUAAUCUAGACUGGAUGCAUACGUUGGAGUUUGGAAUAUGGUGCACUUUGUUAGCAUUAGAUGCAUUGAGUUUUGGUUUGACCCAUAAACUACUUUAUUCUCCACUAACUGAUACAAUCAGAGUCAUUCAAUUCAUUUUAAUAUUUGAUGUUUUUGUAUUCAAACUAAAGAAGGAAAAUCUAGUGUCACUGUUAUGAUGAUGGAGGAUUUCACCAGUUUCCUCAUUUCCCCUC